UACAGAGGGUGCGAGCGUUGUCCGGAAUCACUGGGCGUAAAGGGCGCGUAGGCGGCCGAUCAAGUGUGUGGUGAAAGCCCGGGGCUCAACCCCGGGUCUGCCGUGCAAACUGGUUGGCUUGAGCACUGUAGAGGCAGGUGGAAUUCCGGGUGUAGCGGUGGAAUGCGUAGAGAUCCGGAAGAACACCAGUGGCGAAGGCGGCCUGCUGGGCAGUAGCUGACGCUGAGGCGCGACAGCGUGGGGAGCAAACAGG
rnacentral:rRNA from 1 species